GUGGGGAAUAUUGGACAAUGGGCGCAAGCCUGAUCCAGCCAUGCCGCGUGUGUGAAGAAGGCCUUCGGGUUGUAAAGCACUUUCAGCGAGGAGGAAGGGUUGUGUGUUAAUAGUACACAGCCUUGACGUUACUCGCAGAAGAAGCACCGGCUAACUCUGUGCCAGCAGCCGCGGUAAUACAGAGGGUGCAAGCGUUAAUCGGAAUUACUGGGCGUAAAGCGCACGUAGGCGGUUUUUUAAGUCAGAUGUGAAAGCCCCGGGCUCAACCUGGGAAUUGCAUUUGAAACUGGAAAACUAGAGUGUGUGAGAGGGGGGUAGAAUUCCAAGUGUAGCGGUGAAAUGCGUAGAGAUUUGGAGGAAUACCAGUGGCGAAGGCGGCCCCCUGGCACAACACUGACGCUCAGGUGCGAAAGCGUGGGGAGCAAACAGGAUUAGAUACCCUGGUAGUCC
rnacentral:rRNA from 1 species